rnacentral:tmRNA from 1 species
GGGGCUGCUUUGGCUUCGACGGGAACAAUAGUUAUAAAUCGCAAGUCGUAGGUAUGCGUUAAAUCCAAUAAUUUAAUAACUGGAAACAGAAAUCAAUUAGCUUUUGCUUAAUAUAGCAUAGCUGCUUCUUUUAUUCUUUCGCCCGUGAGGAAUUUAAGAGGCUCAAUUUAAUGGGAUAUAUUAUUGUAAUGCUUAUAGCAAUAAUGAAUUUAAUAAGCUUACUAAGGAAGGGAUUGUUAGUUAUCAACUUUUCUUAGGAAUUUUAUUAACUAACUAAACUUGUAGACAUUUAUAAUGAGAUGUUUUCGGACAGGGGUUCAAUCCCCCUCAGCUCCACCA